rnacentral:tRNA from 1 species
GCCCCGGUAGCUCAGGGGAUCAGAGCGACCGCCUCCUAAGCGGUAGGUCGAAGGUUCGAAUCCUUCCCGGGGCGCCA